AACGCGAAGAACCUUACCUACUCUUGACAUCCAGAGAACUUAGCAGAGAUGCUUUGGUGCCUUCGGGAACUCUGAGACAGGUGCUGCAUGGCUGUCGUCAGCUCGUGUUGUGAAAUGUUGGGUUAAGUCCCGCAACGAGCGCAACCCUUAUCCUUUGUUGCCAGCGGUUCGGCCGGGAACUCAAAGGAGACUGCCAGUGAUAAACUGGAGGAAGGUGGGGAUGACGUCAAGUCAUCAUGGCCCUUACGAGUAGGGCUACACACGUGCUACAAUGGCAUAUACAAAGAGAAGCGACCUCGCGAGAGCAAGCGGACCUCAUAAAGUACGUCGUAGUCCGGAUUGGAGUCUGCAACUCGACUCCAUGAAGUCGGAAUCGCUAGUAAUCGUAGAUCAGAAUGCUACGGUGAAUACGUUCCCGGGCCUUGUACACACCG
rnacentral:rRNA from 1 species